UACGAAGGGGGCUAGCGUUGCUCGGAAUUACUGGGCGUAAAGCGCACGUGGGCGGAUUGUUAAGUCGGGGGUGAAAUCCUGGAGCUCAACUCCAGAACUGCCUUCGAUACUGGCGAUCUCGAGUCCGGGAGAGGUGAGUGGAACUGCGAGUGUAGAGGUGAAAUUCGUAGAUAUCGUAAGGAAGACCAGUGGCGAAGGCGGGUCUCUGGACAGUUCCUGACGCUGAGGCACGAAGGUCAGGGGAGCAAACGGG
rnacentral:rRNA from 1 species